rnacentral:rRNA from 1 species
GAUGAACGCUGGCGGCGUGCCUAAUACAUGCAAGUCGAGCGAACGGACGAGAAGCUUGCUUCUCUGAUGUUAGCGGCGGACGGGUGAGUAACACGUGGAUAACCUACCUAUAAGACUGGGAUAACUUCGGGAAACCGUAGCUAAUACCGGAUAAUAUUUUGAACCGCAUGGUUCAAAAGUGAAAGACGGUCUUGCUGUCACUUAUAGAUGGAUCCGCGCUGCAUUAGCUAGUUGGUAAGGUAACGGCUUACCAAGGCAACGAUGCAUAGCCGACCUGAGAGGGUGAUCGGCCACACUGGAACUGAGACACGGUCCAGACUCCUACGGGAGGCAGCAGUAGGGAAUCUUCCGCAAUGGGCGAAAGCCUGACGGAGCAACGCCGCGUGAGUGAUGAAGGUCUUCGGAUCGUAAAACUCUGUUAUUAGGGAAGAACAUAUGUGUAAGUAACUGUGCACAUCUUGACGGUACCUAAUCAGAAAGCCACGGCUAACUACGUGCCAGCAGCCGCGGUAAUACGUAGGUGGCAAGCGUUAUCCGGAAUUAUUGGGCGUAAAGCGCGCGUAGGCGGUUUUUUAAGUCUGAUGUGAAAGCCCACGGCUCAACCGUGGAGGGUCAUUGGAAACUGGAAAACUUGAGUGCAGAAGAGGAAAGUGGAAUUCCAUGUGUAGCGGUGAAAUGCGCAGAGAUAUGGAGGAACACCAGUGGCGAAGGCGACUUUCUGGUCUGUAACUGACGCUGAUGUGCGAAAGCGUGGGGACCAAACAGGAUUAGAUACCCUGGUAGUCCACGCCGUAAACGAUGAGUGCUAAGUGUUAGGGGGUUUCCGCCCCUUAGUGCUGCAGCUAACGCAUUAAGCACUCCGCCUGGGGAGUACGACCGCAAGGUAGAAACUCAAAGGAAUUGACGGGGACCCGCACAAGCGGUGGAGCAUGUGGUUUAAUUCGAAGCAACGCGAAGAACCUUACCAAAUCUUGACAUCCUUUGACAACUCUAGAGAUAGAGCCUUCCCCUUCGGGGGACAAAGUGACAGGUGGUGCAUGGUUGUCGUCAGCUCGUGUCGUGAGAUGUUGGGUUAAGUCCCGCAACGAGCGCAACCCUUAAGCUUAGUUGCCAUCAUUAAGUUGGGCACUCUAAGUUGACUGCCGGUGACAAACCGGAGGAAGGUGGGGAUGACGUCAAAUCAUCAUGCCCCUUAUGAUUUGGGCUACACACGUGCUACAAUGGACAAUACAAAGGGCAGCGAAACCGCGAGGUCAAGCAAAUCCCAUAAAGUUGUUCUCAGUUCGGAUUGUAGUCUGCAACUCGACUACAUGAAGCUGGAAUCGCUAGUAAUCGUAGAUCAGCAUGCUACGGUGAAUACGUUCCCGGGUCU